GAUGAACGCUAGCUACAGGCUUAACACAUGCAAGUCGAGGGGCAGCAUGAACUUAGCUUGCUAAGUUUGAUGGCGACCGGCGCACGGGUGAGUAACACGUGUCCAACCUGCCGAUGACUCGGGGAUAGCCUUUCGAAAGAAAGAUUAAUACCCGAUGGCAUAGUUCUUCCGCAUGGUAGAACUAUUAAAGAAUUUCGGUCAUCGAUGGGGAUGCGUUCCAUUAGGUUGUUGGCGGGGGAACGGCCCACCAAGCCUUCGAUGGAUAGGGGUUCGGAGAGGAAGCGCCACCACAUGGGAACUGAGACACGGUCCAAACUCCUACGGGACGCAGCAGUGAGGAAUAUUGGUCAAGGGAGGAGAGUCUGAACCAGCCAAGUAGCUUGAAGGAUGACUGCCCUAUGGGUUGUAAACUUCUUUUAUACGGGAAUAAAGUGAGGCACGCGUGCCUUUUUGUAGGUACCGUAUGAAUAAGGAUCGGCUAACUCCGUG
rnacentral:rRNA from 1 species